GGAGCGGACUGCGGGCCGGGAGAGGGAGAGCUUGGGAAUGGAUGAGACUCGACGUUCGAGGGGAGCAGUUAGCCCGCCUGCGGUCCGGCCCUCUGGGAAGACCAGCCCCUGGCGGCCUCCAGGAAGAUGGAGUGUGAGUGUGGGGACCUGGAAGAGAGGCCAAGAAAUCAUAAAUAAUCCAACAGAAAACAGAUGGAUGGCUUAGAAACAGAGGUGCAGGCAGUUUUGAGGUAUCCAUGUCCAGCUCACGCAGGGCCUGGAGUUCAAAGGUGAUGAUUUUGAUUUUUCAUAUAUCAGAAAUUACCAUAUUAUAGUCAUCAGCAUAGUCAUUAUUGUAAACAUUACGUGAGUAGGUACUCAGGUUAAGAGUACUUGUAAUUCU
rnacentral:lncRNA from 1 species